rnacentral:tRNA from 1 species
CGGGGUGUAGCUCAGCCUGGUUAGAGCGCGCGCUUUGGGAGCGCGAGGCCCCCAGUUCGAAUCUGGGCACCCCGA